rnacentral:sRNA from 1 species
GGAAAGUUAUGAAUAUCCUUCAUAGGAUUGCAAGUCAAGUAGCUGCUUUGGACCUUGGCUAUAAGCCUGGGGUGGAAGCAAUUCGGAAGAACCCUCCCAGGCUGCUGUUUCUCCUGGGAGCAGAUGGAGGUUGUAUCACACGACAGGAUUUGCCAAAGGAUUGUUUCAUAAUUUAUCAAGGACAUCAUGGUGAUGUUGGGGCUCCCAUAGCUGAUGUUAUUCUCCCAGGAGCUGCUUACACAGAGAAGUCUGCUACAUAUGUCAACACUGAGGGUAGAGCUCAGCAGACUAAGGUAGCAGUGACACCUCCUGGCUUGGCAAGAGAAGACUGGAAAAUUAUAAGAGCACUCUCUGAGGUAUAAUUUCUGAGUCAUUUCUUAGUGAUGCUACUAAAGGGAUAUUUGAUAUUUUAGCCUGUUAGAAUGAUUUUCAAAGUCAAGGAAGAUGCCAAUCUGAAAUGCAGAGAUGAUUUGAAUAAUUUCUAUAGAAAACAUGUAUUCAGAAACAGGAAUUCAAGGUUACAGUGAGCUCUCAUUGCACUGCUGCACUCCAGCCUGAGGGACAGAGCAAGACCCUGUCUCUUAAAAAAUAAA